UACGUGGGGGGCAAGCGUUGUCCGGAAUCACUGGGCGUAAAGCGCGCGCAGGCGGCGAUCUACGUCCGGGGUGAAAGCCCAGAGCUCAACUCUGGGACUGCCUUGGAUACGGGAUCGCUUGAGGAUCGGAGAGGCAAGGGGAAUUCCACGUGUAGCGGUGAAAUGCGUAGAGAUGUGGAGGAACACCUGUGGCGAAGGCGCCUUGCUGGCCGAUUUCUGACGCUGAGGCGCGAAAGCGUGGGGAGCAAACAGG
rnacentral:rRNA from 1 species